GGAGGAGAACUAAAAGCAAAAAGGGAUUUCAAAAAGAUGCUUGGGGAAAGAACAAGUUUACCUAAUCACAUGUGCCAUGCCAUAAUAGCUCUUAUUUCUCUGGGUUCAACAGUAGUGUUGAGAGCUGUAGUAUUUAUUUUAAUUCUACUCACUGUACCUUCCACUGAAAAUAAAGAAGUGGAUGAAGCUACUAUAAGGUGAUGGUGUCCAAAAUCUGAUUGAUAUCAGCGGCCUAAUGCAAAACCUUUUGCAAGUCUAAAAAAAUUUUGUCCUUAAUUUCAGUGAGUUUUAGAGCUAAGAUUUCUUUCCUCUUAGUAUCUAGCAGAAGUGCCCUAAUACCUGCUCACUGCAGCUGAGUGUGUGAGAUGACAUGAUUCUCUGUGACUUCCAGCUGUGUAGCCUACUGUAUCAAAGCCAGAGGAAUUCACUGAGCCCCCCACAACAUAAAUUUUAGAAGCAGAAGUCCUAGCUGCUCCCAUAUGAAAUGAAACAUCUCGCUGUUUACAAAAAUAUCAGGAAAAAAAAUAUUGCAAAUCCUCUUUGCCGAAAUGCACAAGAAGUGUAAAGGCAUGUCAGUAAGAACAAUAAAAUAGAAAUGUAAAUAAACUGUAAAUGGAAAUAUAUUCUGGGGUUAAAAAAUUAGAAAAGGAGAGGAGGGCUAGACUGGGAGAACAGAAUGUGUACAAGGUGGGUAGAUACAAUCUAGGUGUAGAUACAAUCUAGGUUACUCUUCACCUUAUAGAUGAACAUUUCUGAGCAGCAAAGAAAGACAAAGAACAGCCUUAAUAACAGGGAGCACAUGAAGGUCAAAAAACACAUGGGUCUUAGAGACUCAUUUACUGAUUUAAUCCAGCAUUUUGAAUUUACUGAAGCUUGAAAACAGACGUGCUGGAAACCAUUAGAAAAGAAUGCUGUGAAAGGCAAAGUAUGAAGCAACUUGAUAUGUUCACUGAUGACAGCACACAAGCAAGGAGACCUCCACCCAAGUAAUAUGUUUCAUUUUUACAUCAUUAACCUGGAUGGAACGAGGACAUGGUUAAGAUCUGAACACCAAUGAUCCCCACAGCCUGUGAGCAGUGAGAUCUAUAAUUCUGAUGAACCUUGGGAAAUCAUAAAGAAAGUGGUAUUUAGAUAGGAAUAUCCUAAAAAUUACAGAAAUCUGGGGCCAAACAGUGAGGAAAAUUGGAAGGAGCAAAGAAAGAAGUGGAAAUCUAAUGAAUCAGAUGACAGAAUUUGGUGCCUAAAGACCAAAGUUUGAUUUCUCAGUAACUUAGGAAAGCAAUAAGGUUCAGUGUAAAUCCUAUUGAAACUUAGAUUAUUGCUUUUGCCACUGAGCUCAUGUCUUGGUAGGGCUUUCUGCCUGAAUCAGACUCUUAUAUGAGACACUUUAAUUGUGAUUGCUGGGCAGCAGUAAAUGGUGAGCCUAAAGGACUGAUAAUACUUAAAUCAAGCCAGUGAAUUGGGAGAACAGGCAGAGCAGUGGGAAACACCAAAGAAGACAAAAAGUGACAAAGUAAUGAGUUACCUGCAGUCAAGGAGGAUGGUAAUUGCUGGUAGAAACAAGUGUAAGCAUGCCUCAAAGGAAAAGUUGAUGACUUUCUACUUUGAGGUGGUUAUUUUUUAAAAAUGUAUUUCCAUAGACUGUUGGCCUUGUGAUGGCCUGACCUGAGCUAUCUCAGGAUUGGCUUUAGUUUAGUUUCAGAACUAGAACAAGAACACAAGUUGGUGCUCAAGAAAAACUCAAACUCCUCCCAAAAGUCAAAAUAUACUUUUCUCUCUAUAUUUCCCUCCCCCCCCCCAUAUUAGAAAUGCUGAUUUGGGAAAGUAAAGUUUUAUAACAAGGUUAAGCAAGUGAAUCCUAUCUUAUUUUAAAUGUAGGUUCAUGAUUUUCAUCUGUAUCUCUUGCUUUAGAUUCUUCCAGACAAAUGAGUUAUUGCAAUACAUUUAGAAUCUUGCAGAGUUUAAGAUAUGUGCUCAUUAUAUCCUGUAGUAAUCAAAUACUUAAAAAUAAUCUUCCCUUCUAUUUCAGACACUAAAAUCUCUGCUGAACUAUGAAGAAAUUAGCUAAGUGAAGGAAAGAAGAAAAGGUGGCUGAACAGGUUCUUUCCUUAUAAAAAGAGAAUGCUUCUCUUUUCUCCGUGGCCAAAUACAGGCUUCUCCUUAUUUCUUUCUAGAGCCAAACAUACCAGAACUCACAAGCAAAUUUAACUGAAACAGGACACACUGCAAAAACUGUUUUACAAAAUGACAGAGGUCAAAGAGACCUCUGAAAGUUGCCUAAUCCAACAUCCUUGCUCAAAGGAGGGGCAAUUAGGGCAGGUGGCUCCGUCAAGUUUUGAGUAUCUCUGAAGAUGGAGGCCCCUCAACUUCUCUGAGCAACUUGUUCUAGUGUUCAACCACCUGUACAAUAUGAAAGCUCUCUCAUGAUCAAAUGGAACUUCUUGUACCUCAACUUGGGCCCCUUGCCUCCUGUCCUUUUCUUAGGCACCAAAGAGAAGAGUCUUGCUCUGUCUUCUUUGUCCGUAUCUCCUUCAGGCAUUUAGACACAUUGAAAAGACCCCCUGCAGGUCUCCUUGUCUAAAUGAAGAGUCUUAGCUCUAUUGGCCUCUAUUCAUAUGUUGGAUAUUCUAAUACCUCAAUCAUCUUCAUGCUCCUUUGACAAACUCCAGUACAUCCGUAUCACUCUUGCACAGAACUGGACCCAGCACUGCAGAUGUCAGUCACUAAGGCUGGGCAGAGGGAAGGAUCAGCUCUAUCAACCUGCUGUUGUUGCUCUGCCUGGAUAGUCCAGAAGUACAAGUGCACAUUCCUGGCUUCUGGUCAACUAGUUCUGGUCAAUAAGCUCUCUCCAAUACUGCUUUCUAAUGGAUUUUCUAAUCAGACUGUGCUGGUACACAGGAUGAUACCCUUCCAGGGGAUGGAAGUGGUAUUUUCCUUUGCUGACUUUUCCUUUGCCAAAGCAGGGAAUUGCCUCAGCUAGUUGAGGAUUAGCUCUGUCAGAGAGUAGCUGCUGGGCACCAUUGUCAUGUGAAUGGCAGCGGCAUUCUGACAUCACAGGGGCAGAGCCAGGAGCAGCAGGGUCACCCACUGUGUGUAUAAAUGCUGCUACUAGGGAGCGCAGCAACACAGGAGUAGCACCAACAGGAUGGGCAACCAGCACACACCCUCCUGCCUGCAAACAAAGAUCUCUGUAAGAACUAAUUCCUUUCCAAACUUUGAAAAGCUGUGGAAAAGUCUAUGGAAGCAAUGCUGGAGCCCAGGAUAGCCAGCAAUUAGGCAAUGCUCAGGAAUGCUGGCUCUCCUAUGUUCCUGUUCUUCAUGUAUGUAGUGACUAAAACAGUACUUUUAGUGGUCAGGUAGGCCAGCUCAUCAGUAUUUCAAAUUGCCUUUCUUAAGUAGGAAAGUCGAAUAAAUACAAGUCAGAUCACGAUUUCUAAUUUUCCACGUCUUCUACA